rnacentral:rRNA from 1 species
UACGUAGGGGGCUAGCGUUGUCCGGAAUCAUUGGGCGUAAAGAGCGCGUAGGCGGCCAGAUAAGUCCGGUGUGAAAGUCACAGGCUCAACCUGUGAAUGCCGCUGGAAACUGUCUGGCUAGAGUCCGGGAGGGGCGAGUGGAAUUCCUGGUGUAGCGGUGAAAUGCGUAGAUAUCAAGAGGAACACCUGAGGCGAAGGCGGGUUGCUAGGCUGACACUGACGCUGAGGAGCGAAAGCCAGGGGAGCAAACGGG